rnacentral:rRNA from 1 species
UACGAAGGGGGCUAGCGUUGUCCGGAAUUAUUGGGCGUAAAGAGCUCGUAGGCGGUUUGUCGCGUCUGCUGUGAAAAGACCGGGGCUCAACUCCGGUUCUGCAGUGGGUACGGGCAGACUAGAGUGCAGUAGGGGAGACUGGAAUUCCUGGUGUAGCGGUGAAAUGCGCAGAUAUCAGGAGGAACACCGAUGGCGAAAGGCAGGGUCUCUGGGCUGUAACUGACGCUGAGGCACGAAAGCGUGGGGGAGUCAAACAGGA